rnacentral:lncRNA from 10 species
CCUGGGCGACAGAGCGAGACGCCGUCUCGGAAAAGAGAGACCACUUGUUUCCUAUGUUCUCUCACUGAACAUUGCAAUUAGAAGGCCCACCCCAAAUAAUAAUAGGAAGGACUUUUUGUCUUGCUAAUGAAUUCAUCCCAGGAAGGGGGUGGGGGGAGAAAUAUAUUGUUUGGAUUAUCUUUGGGUAGGAGAAGGGAGAAGGAUUGGGAGGAAGCAGAGGGUGUGUUCACUCUUAUCUUACAAAACAAAAACAGAAAACCUUGAAAACUUACCCCAAACCAAGAUUUGAGAACCACCUAUGAUAAACAGUCCUUAACUUGGAGAGAAUAUGUGUU